CCGUGAGAGGGAUGAUGUAUUACUACAGGGCUCUUAAGAUGCUUUCUUUUCUUGAAUCUGCAUCAGAGAUGGAUAUGAGACAAGG
rnacentral:snoRNA from 1 species